rnacentral:rRNA from 1 species
AUUGAACUCUGGCGGCAGGCCUAACACAUGCAAGUCGAACGAGUGGCGGACGGGUGAGUAAUGUCUGGGAAACUGCCUGAUGGAGGGGGAUAACUACUGGAAACGGUAGCUAAUACCGCCUACCAUAAGAUUGACCCAGAUGGGAUUAGCUUGUUGGGGGGGUAACGGCUCACCAAGGCGACGAUCCCUAGCUGGUCUGAGAGGAAGACCAGUCACACUGGAACUGAGACACGGUCCAGACUCCGACGGGAGGCAGCAGUGGGGAAUAUUGCACAAUGGGCGCAAGCCUGAUGCAGCCAGGCCGCGUGUAUGAAGAAGGCCUUCGGGUUUUAAAGUACUUUCAGCGGGGAGGCGUUACCCGCAGAAGAAGCACCGGCUAACUCCGUGCCAGCAGCCGCGGUAAUAC